rnacentral:misc_RNA from 1 species
GAUGAAGAACGUAGCGAAAUGCGAUAAGUAGUGUGAAUUGCAGAAUUCAGUGAAUCGUCGAAUCUUUGAACGCACAUUGCGCCCUUUGGUAUUCCAAAGGGCAUGCCUGUUCGAGCGUCAUUUGUACCCUCAAGCUUUGCUUGGUGUUGGGCGUCUUGUCUCUAGCUUUGCUGGAGACUCGCCUUAAAGUAAUUGGCAGCCGGCCUACUGGUUUCGGAGCGCAGCACAAGUCGCACUCUCUAUCAGCAAAGGUCUAGCAUCCACUAAGCCUUUUUUUCAACUUUUGACCUCGGAUCAGGUAGGGAUACCCGCUGAACUUAAGCAUAUCAAUAAGCGGAGGA